UACGGAAGGUUCAGGCGUUAUCCGGAUUUAUUGGGUUUAAAGGGAGCGCAGGCGGCGGCGUAAGUCAGUUGUGAAAUCGUGCGGCUUAACCGUACAAUUGCAGUUGAUACUGCGUCGCUUGAGUGCACACAGGGAUGUUGGAAUUCAUGGUGUAGCGGUGAAAUGCUUAGAUAUCAUGAAGAACUCCGAUCGCGAAGGCAUAUGUCCGGAGUGCAACUGACGCUGAGGCUCGAAAGUGUGGGUAUCAAACAGG
rnacentral:rRNA from 1 species